rnacentral:rRNA from 1 species
GACGAACGCUGGCGGCGUGCUUAACACAUGCAAGUCGAACGGAAAGGCCCUGCUUUUGUGGGGUGCUCGAGUGGCGAACGGGUGAGUAACACGUGAGUAACCUGCCCUUGACUUUGGGAUAACUUCAGGAAACUGGGGCUAAUACCGGAUAGGAGCUCCUGCUGCAUGGUGGGGGUUGGAAAGUUUCGGCGGUUGGGGAUGGACUCGCGGCUUAUCAGCUUGUUGGUGGGGUAGUGGCUUACCAAGGCUUUGACGGGUAGCCGGCCUGAGAGGGUGACCGGCAAUGUGGGGCAUGAUAACGGGCAGAGCCCCCUAGGGGGGGCGGAGGGGGGGAAUAUACAACAGGGGGGGAAAGCGGGAGGCAAAAACGCGGUGUGGGGGAUAACGGCUUUCGGGUGGAAACCCGCUUCCGCUUGUAACGAGGCGGGGGUGAGGGUAGUGGGUAAAGAGGCACGGGCAAACUCCGUG